rnacentral:rRNA from 1 species
UCUAGCGUGUGGCCGGCGGCGGUGGGAAGACGAAGGAGGGAAGCUGUACUUGGAAUUACUAGGCGUAAAGCGUGGGCAGGCGGUUCGGAAAGGCUGUUGUGAAAGCUCCCUGCGCAACUGGGAGAGGCCAAUGGAUACUUCCGGACUUGAAUCGAGGAGAGGUGACUGGAAUUCCUGGUGUAGCGGUGAAAUGCGUAGAGAUCAGGAGGAACACCGAUGGCGAAAGCAGGUCACUGGACUCGUAUUGACGCUCAUCCACGAAAGCUAGGGGAGCAAACAGGAUUAGAUACCCGAGUAGUC